rnacentral:lncRNA from 1 species
UUUGCAGCACGGAGUGGAGGGGACCGUUUUGAUAUCAGCUCAUCUACACCUUUAGAAUGUGGCUUCAUUUUUUUCUUUAUAGGUGAAGCUAAGAAAUCGCCAUGAUGUUUUUUCUUUGUGGUAAACUGAUUUUGUCUUUGUGGAGGAUCCUGAAAAUCAUCAUCCGAAUCAAUGUCAUCUUCAUUAUGACUAGCAGAUCCAGGAACAAGCUUCUUCGAUAUAUGAAAAGCUGAAAUCUCCUUUCUUGUUGGUUCGAUAUUCUUAAAAACAACCUACAAUUUAAAUAACAUAAUGAAAAUAAUAAUUUAGAUGGUAAAAUUAAUUACAUUAUAAAUCAGUUAAUCAUGAUCCAAACCCAAUAAUGAAUACACACUGACAAAUGGUAUGUUGUAUAUAUACAUAUACCAGAUCAGAAAAUACAUUUACAGAAUAAUCAACAUCACAUACAAAACAAAAAUCGUAAAACUAACCUUGUCAUUUGUAUCAUUAAACAUACUUCCCAUAAGAGUUUCAUAUCUUGGACGAGGAGAAUU